rnacentral:RNase_P_RNA from 2 species
UGGGUCGGCUAGACGGUCGCGGCAUUGCCGAGGAACGUCCGGGCUCCGCAGAGUACGGUGGUGGGUAACGCCCACCUGGGGUAACCCAAGAGACAGUGCAACAGAAAGUAAACCGCCUCGCAAGAGGUAAGGAUGAAACGGUGGUGUAAGAGACCACCAGCGAGUUAGGUGACUAAUUCGGCUAGGUAAACCUCACCGGGAGCAAGACCAAGUAAGAAGGCGCUAAGAACUACUCGUUCGAGUCUUCGGGUAGGUUGCUAGAGCCACUGAGCAAUUGGUGGCCGAGAUAGAUGACCGUCAGUGCCUAGGCACUACAGAACCCGGCGUAUCGGCCGGCCCAUCUC